GGAGUUAUGAAAUGCAGGCAGGUUAAUACCCUGUUUGUUUGACAAAGGCCCCAAGGGAAGCUACGGCUAACUCUGUGCCAGCAGCCGCGGUAAUACAGAGGUGACGAGCGUUGUUCGGUAUUAUUGGGCGUAAAGAGCACGUAGGUGGUUUUGUAAGUCAGAUGUGAAAGCCUUCUGUUCAAAGGAAGAACGGCAUCUGAAACUGCUGAUCUUGAGUGUAGGAGGGGAGAGUG
rnacentral:rRNA from 1 species